rnacentral:rRNA from 1 species
UACAGGGGGUGCAAACGUUGCUCGGAAUCAUUGGGCGUAAAGCGCACGUAGGCGGUCUGUUAUGUCGGAUGUGAAAGCCCUUGGCUUAACCGAGGAAGUGCAUCCGAAACUGGCAGGCUAGAGUACUAAAGAGGGUCGCGGAAUUCCCGGUGUAGAGGUGAAAUUCGUAGAUAUCGGGAGGAACACCGGUGGCGAAGGCGGCGACCUGGGUAGAUACUGACGCUGAGGUGCGAAAGCGUGGGGAGCAAACGGG